AUGAACGCUGGCGGCGUGCCUCAUACAUGCCAGUCGCGCGAACAGACGAGGAGCUUGCUCCUCUGACGUUAGCGGCGGACGGGUGAGUAACACGUGGAUAACCUACCUAUAAGACUGGGAUAACUUCGGGAAACCGGAGCUAAUACCGGAUAAUAUAUUGAACCGCAUGGUUCAAUAGUGGAAGACGGUUUUGCUGUCACUUAUAGAUGGAUCCGCGCCGCAUUAGCUAGUUGGUAAGGUAACGGCUUACCAAGGCAACGAUGCGUAGCCGACCUGAGAGGGUGAUCGGCCACACUGGAACUGAGACACGGUCCAGACUCCUACGGGAGGCAGCAGUAGGGAAUCUUCCGCAAUGGGCGAAAGCCUGACGGAGCAACGCCGCGUGAGUGAUGAAGGUCUUCGGAUCGUAAAACUCUGUUAUUAGGGAAGAACAAAUGUGUAAGUAACUAUGCACGUCUUGACGGUACCUAAUCAGAAAGCCACGGCUAACUACGUG
rnacentral:rRNA from 1 species